rnacentral:rRNA from 1 species
GUGAGGAAUAUUGGUCAAUGGGCGCAAGCCUGAACCAGCCAUCCCGCGUGCAGGAAGACGGCGCUAUGCGUUGUAAACUGCUUUUCCAGGGAGAGAAACUUGCGCACGUGUUGCGCAAUUGACGGUACCCUGGGAAUAAGCAUCGGCUAACUCCGUGCCAGCAGCCGCGGUAAUACGGAGGAUGCGAGCGUUAUCCGGAUUCAUUGGGUUUAAAGGGUGCGUAGGCGGACUAUUAAUUAAGGGGUGAAAUCCUGCAGCUUAACUGCAGAACUGCCAGUGAUACUGAUAGCCUUGAGUUUGGUUAAGGUAGGCAGAAUGUGUAAUGUAGCGGUGAAAUGCUUAGAUAUUACACAGAACACCAAUUGCGUAGGCAGCUUACUGAGCCGACACUGACGCUGAGGCACGAAAGCGUGGGGAUCGAACAGGAUUAGAUACCCUUGUAGUCC